rnacentral:rRNA from 1 species
UGGUGGGUUGCCUUGUCAGGUUGAUUCCGGUAACGAACGAGACCUCAGCCUGCUAAAUAGUCACGAGUACCUUGGUACCCAGUGACUUCUUAGAGGGACUAUUGGCGACUAGUCAAUGGAAGUGUGAGGCAAUAACA